rnacentral:rRNA from 1 species
GACGAACGCUGGCGGCGUGCCUAAUACAUGCAAGUAGAACGCACAGUUUAUACCGUAGCUUGCUACACCAUAGACUGUGAGUUGCGAACGGGUGAGUAACGCGUAGGUAACCUGCCUGGUAGCGGGGGAUAACUAUUGGAAACGAUAGCUAAUACCGCAUAAUAUUGAUUAUUGCAUGAUAAUUGAUUGAAAGAUGCUAUUGCAUCACUACCAGAUGGACCUGCGUUGUAUUAGCUAGUAGGUGAGGUAACGGCUCACCUAGGCGACGAUACAUAGCCGACCUGAGAGGGUGAUCGGCCACACUGGGACUGAGACACGGCCCAGACUCCUACGGGAGGCAGCAGUAGGGAAUCUUCGGCAAUGGACGAAAGUCUGACCGAGCAACGCCGCGUGAGUGAAGAAGGUUUUCGGAUCGUAAAGCUCUGUUGUAAGAGAAGAACGGGUGUGAGAGUGGAAAGUUCACACUGUGACGGUAUCUUACCAGAAAGGGACGGCUGACUACGUG